UGGGGAAUAUUGCACAAUGGGGGAAACCCUGAUGCAGCAACGCCGCGUGAGUGAAGAAGGCUUUCGGGUCGUAAAACUCUGUCGCAUAGGAAGAAAAGGACAGUACUAUGCAAGGAAGUCCCGGCUAACUACGUGCCAGCAGCCGCGGUAAUACGUAGGGGACAAGCGUUAUCCGGAAUUACUGGGCGUAAAGGGUGCGCAGGUGGUCAGAUAAGUUAGAGGUUAAAAGCAGAGGCUCAACCACUGUCAGCCUUUAAAACUAUCUGACUUGAGUGCAGGAGAGGAAAGAGGAAUUCCCGGUGUAGCGGUGAAAUGCGUAGAUAUCGGGAGGAAUACCGGUGGCGAAGGCGCCUUUCUGGACUGUAACUGACACUGAGGCACGAAAGCGUGGGGAGCAAACAGG
rnacentral:rRNA from 1 species